rnacentral:tRNA from 1 species
UCCCUGGUGGCUUAGAGGUUAAAGUCUCUGCCUGAAAUGCGGGAGACCUGGGUUCAAUCCCUGGGUUGGGAA